UCUCACCUGAAAGACAUGACUCCCAUGUGGCUCUUCCUCUUCCUGCUGUCAGCUCCCACAUGUGUCCUGUCCCAGGUGCAGCUGCAGGAGUCGGGCCCUGGACUGAUGAAGCCCUCGCAGACCCUCUCCCUCACCUGCUCUGUCUCUGGAUUCUCCAUCACAACCAGUGGUUAUGGCUGGAGCUGGAUCCGCCAGCCCCCAGGGAAGGGGCUGGAGUGGAUUGUGCGCAUAGAUUAUGAUGGAGACACUUUCUACAGCCCCUCCCUCAAGAGGCGAACCUCCAUCUCCAAAGACACGUCCAAGAACCAGUUCUCCCUGCAACUGAGGUCUGUGACCACCGAGGACACAGCCGUGUAUUACUGUGCAAGACACACAGUGAGGGGA